GUGUUGUGGAGCUCCCCAUCUCCCUCCUCAGGGUGUUUCCACCAUGUUCCAGUGGGUGGCCCUGGCCGUUGUUGCCUCACAUCUUGGCGCCUUUCACCAGACGGAUUCACUUGCUCAGGACUCCAUCUACUUGGACGGCCACAGGUGUAGCCUCGCGUGUGCAGCAGACCCAGUAUGUCAUCUCUGUGCUGCAGGAGGAGGAGGCAGCGCAUGGCGUCCUCCCCCCCUUUGGAGAGUAGUGGUUCAGCCCUCUGGGGCAAGGCGGGAGCAGUGGGGCACCGAUCAGUCCCACAGCAGGACUGUGCGGAGGAGCAGUUGUGAUCAACUUCUAAUCAACUUGUAAUCUUCGAUUGUGGUGAUGGGAACACGCAGAACCUGCUGUCUUUUGGAAACCAGGCAAUUCUUUCAAGUAUUCUUUCUGGGCUCCUUGUAUUGUUCAUAUAUCUUUGUCGCUCUUCCAAGCAAAGUGUGGGGGGUUUUUCCCGGAUAGAACCAGUGGAAGUCUGCCGAUGGCCUCAGCAAGUUCAGCAUGACCAAAAGAUGUCCCGAGAGCACGAAAAUGAACCUGUGAAGUCUAUCCAGACCUUUGGCACUACAGACACUGAAUUUUUUGCAAGGCUGAGGAGUAAGGUGGGCACUCUUCGUAUGAACCUGUUGGACACUGGGAGGAGAAAUGAAGAAUUGCUAGAACCAGCCUGAGACCACCUGGCUGUGCAGCACUAAUCCAUAAGAAACAAAAAAUGUUUAAAAGAUGGACUAUUAAGCCUGCAUGUAGUAACACAAGUCACUUUUAACUUACUGGGGCAGUGUCUGGUAAUGUUUAUGUAGACAAAAAAAUGAAGAUUUAUGUUUCUGUUCUUAGAAUUUCUACCUUUUCCAAGCUAUAAUAGCAUUUGUUUCUGUUUGACAGUCCUGACUUCCUCUGAAUUAUUGUUGGGGUACUAAUGUACCCCUUUGGACUCAACAAACUCUGGGAGCUGCCAAGUGGUUGGGAUGUAAAACCAUUAUAGUACUCAGAGAUAGGGUUAGCUGAGAUUUGUAUUGUGGUGAGCAAAAGUAGAAAUUCAAAUGUAGCAAACCUGGGUUUAAAAAUAGCAGUAAAGGUAUCUCUACAACAUGGAAAGCUGUAAUCUUGGCUUAUUGCUACCUUGAUCAGCUCUGUAAUAUGGUACUCAACUAAACUUGAAGUAGAGUGAAAUACUCUUGAGACAACAACUGGAAAUGCUGCUUGGGUUUUUUUUAGGAAGACUUAACAUAAAAAAGAGCAAAUGCUGAAAUUGUAUAUCUUCCAAUGUCUGAUUUUUCAGUAUUGAAUGUAGCACAUUAUUAAUACUAAGUCUAAGUUCAUUUUUGGUUUGUCAAGAAGGAAGGAGGUUUAGACAAGAGUAAUUAAUUUUUAUGAUCCAACAUGUAAUUACUGGAUGCACUUGAAAGUUUAGGGUUUCUAUUAGGGAUUACAUUCCCUGAGGAUACCAUCUGUUCAGGAGUUUUGCUCAUGAGUCUUUGUUCUUAGAAUUAUAAGACUGACAGGAGUAGCUUCUAAGAUUUUAUACAAAAGAACAAAAAACACAACAAAAACCACAACUCUAGAGAGCAACAGCUAAUGCCAGGUUUUGAUGAUGGAUAUCUAAAAUGUUAAUUACCUUCCAACAGGAAAAAAUGUAGAACCUUAAGCUUCAGUGUGUAAUACAGGUUUCAUUGUGGGGUGGAAAGUGAAAAAAAGUGAGGUAGAGGGAGGAAUAGGUGGGUGUAAGGGUCACAGAUUACUAAAAUAGUAAUGUUGGUAAACAUGAAAUAUGGUGUUAAGCAUUAGGACUGCCUUUUAUUUUGUAUGAGUGGCUAACUGGAUUGUAUCCUUGAAUAAAAUGUCAGACUACUUAUUUAUUUUUCUUUUCCCCCUUCCUCUGUUUUACCUGAAUACAGUGUCUGACCAAUUGUUGGAGUUAGUAGUAUUAAACAGCAAAAGGGAGAGCAGAUUCUGAGGUGGUUCUAAGAGAGCAAGAGAACAAAGAUCUGUGAGCUAGGUGUUGUACCAACCCUCCUUCCUGUUACACGCCUCCAGCCCUCUCUGGAAGAGGGCUCUCCAUACCAGAAGCUGCAAAUCAGAACUUUUGAGAGGUGUCCACAGAAAGAAAACUGCCUUGUUCCAAAUUACUCUUCACGUUUUAACACCCUGCACCUAAGAUUAAGACUUGCUCUGUUAAAUGGAAACAGUCUAUCUGUGGGGGCAUUCUUGAACAUAAAUCCAUUGCCCCUUCUGCCCAGCAAAGCGGCUCAUUUGUAGGAAAUUUAAUGGUAGUAGUUUAUGAAGAAUGUGAAGUACAUUCUGGUAGCCUCACUGAGAAAAUACAUGCACAGCUGUAGCUGGUUUCGAGACUUUAACAUUGCAGCAAGUGAAGUGUAUCGUUUACAUAGUGACCAGCUGGGAGGCCAGUGGUUUUCUUCACUCUUGUAUUGGGUCUGGUAGAGAGGGAGUUAAUUUUCCCUGCAGCAGCCCUCAUA